rnacentral:rRNA from 1 species
UAGUGAACCAGUACCGUGAGGGAAAGGUGAAAAGCACCCCGGAAGGGGAGUGAAAUAGAACCUGAAACCGUGUGCUUACAAGUAGUCAGAGCCCGUUAAUGGGUGAUGGCGUGCCUUUUGUAGAAUGAACCGGCGAGUUACGAUUUGAUGCAAGGUUAAGCAGUAAAUGUGGAGCCGUAGCGAAAGCGAGUCUGAAUAGGGCGUUUAGUAUUUGGUCGUAGACCCGAAACCAGGUGAUCUACCCUUGGUCAGGUUGAAGUUCAGGUAACACUGAAUGGAGGACCGAACCGACUUACGUUGAAAAGUGAGCGGAUGAACUGAGGGUAGCGGAGAAAUUCCAAUCGAACCUGGAGAUAGCUGGUUCUCUCCGAAAUAGCUUUAGGGCUAGCCUCAAGUGAUGAUUAUUGGAGGUAGAGCACUGUUUGGACGAGGGGCCCCUCUCGGGUUACCGAAUUCAGACAAACUCCGAAUGCCAAUUAAUUUAACUUGGGAGUCAGAACAUGGGUGAUAAGGUCCGUGUUCGAAAGGGAAACAGCCCAGACCACCAGCUAAGGUCCCAAAAUAUAUGUUAAGUGGAAAAGGAUGUGGCGUUGCCCAGACAACUAGGAUGUUGGCUUAGAAGCAGCCAUCAUUUAAAGAGUGCGUAAUAGCUCA